GACGAACGCUGGCGGCGUGCCUAAUACAUGCAAGUCGAGCGAACGGACGAGAAGCUUGUUUCUCUGAUGUUAGCGGAGGACGGGAGAGUAACAUGUGGAUAACCCACUUAUAAGACGGGGAUAAUUACGGGAAACCGGAGCUAACACCGGAGGAGAUUCUGAUCCGCAUGGUUCAAAAGAGAAAGACGGUCUUGCUGUAACUAAUAGAGGGAUCCGCGCUGCAUGAGCUAGUAGGUAGGGUAACGGCUUACCAAGGCAACGAUGCGUAGCCGACCGAAUAGGGUGAUCGGCGACACGGGAGGUUGAACGCGGUCCAUGCGACUACGGGAGGCAGCAGUAGGGAAUGUGCCGCAAUAGGCGAAAACCUGACGGAGCAAGGCCGCGUGUGUGAUGGCGAUCUUGGGAUCGUAAAGCUCUGUUAUUAGUGGAGAACAUAUGUGGAAGUUGAUGUACACAUCGUGACGGUACCUGGUCAAAAAGCCACGGCUAACUACGUG
rnacentral:rRNA from 1 species